rnacentral:misc_RNA from 1 species
GUAACAAGGUUUCCGUUGGUGAACCAGCGGAGGGAUCAUUAUCGAGUUGCAAAACUCCAGCCCUUUGUGAACAUACCUCAGUCGUUGCUUCGGCGGUGGACGGCCUGUUUUUCGGAACGGCCGGAAGCCGCCGGAGGUUCCAAACUCGUAUUUUUUAGUGUAUCUCUGGGCCUGAAAACAAAUAAUCAAAACUUUCAACAACGGAUCUCUUGGUUCUGGCAUCGAUGAAGAACG